rnacentral:rRNA from 1 species
AUACGGAGGGUGCGAACGUUAAUCGGAAUUACUGGGCGUAAAGCGCGCGUAGGCGGUUCGACAAGUGGGGUGUGAAAGCCCAGGGCUUAACCUUGGAACUGCAUUCCAAACUGUCGGACUAGAGUAUGGUAGAGGGAGGUAGAAUUUCCUGUGUAGCGGUGAAAUGCGUAGAUAUAGGAAGGAAUACCGGUGGCGAAGGCGGCCUCCUGGACCAAUACUGACGCUGAGGUGCGAAAGCGUGGGGAGCAAACAGGAUUAGAAACCCCGGUAGUCC